ensembl:ncRNA F22B3.20 ncRNA
CACACGCAAACUGAUUGGUCCCCCAAGGAAAUGUCUUCGUCGUCGUUGUCGCCGUUGUCCUAAUUAAAAAUGCGUAGACACCCUCAUCACAUUUGUGUGUGCUUCGGGAGCUCCCUCAUUUCGCGCCCAACAUCCACAUUAUUCCAUUAUUGAUCUCAAAUUUGAGAAAUGUUGAUGAUGAUGGUGCUGUUGGGUAGUCGACAGGCCAUG